CGGAGGGAUCAUUACACAAAUAUGAAGGCGGGCUGGAACCUCUCGGGGUUACAGCCUUGCUGAAUUAUUCACCCUUGUCUUUUGCGUACUUCUUGUUUCCUUGGUGGGUUCGCCCACCACUAGGACAAACAUAAACCUUUUGUAAUUGCAAUCAGCGUCAGUAACAAAUUAAUAAUUACAACUUUCAACAACGGAUCUCUUGGUUCUGGCAUCGAUGAAGAACGCAGCGAAAUGCGAUAAGUAGUGUGAAUUGCAGAAUUCAGUGAAUCAUCGAAUCUUUGAACGCACAUUGCGCCCUUUGGUAUUCCAAAGGGCAUGCCUGUUCGAGCGUCAUUUGUACCCUCAAGCUUUGCUUGGUGUUGGGCGUCUUGUCUCUAGCUUUGCUGGAGACUCGCCUUAAAGUAAUUGGCAGCCGGCCUACUGGUUUCGGAGCGCAGCACAAGUCGCACUCUCUAUCAGCAAAGGUCUAGCAUCCAUUAAGCCUUUUUUUCAACUUUUGACCUCGGAUCAGGUAGGGAUACCCGCUGAACUUAAGCAUAUCAAUAAGCGGAGGAA
rnacentral:rRNA from 1 species